rnacentral:misc_RNA from 1 species
UCGAAUUACAAGUCGGUUGACUGUGCUGGUGGCCCUAGGGUCGCAUGUGCACGUCAAUUGCAAAUCCACACACCUGUGCACCUUAGACUUUGGGAUUCGCCGACCUUCACGGUUGACAGUCGGUCUCCCAUCCGUGGGUUGACCUGGGUCCUGAGGUACUUUACACACACUCUUGAAUGGAAUGGAAUGUUGACCUGUGCUUAUGCACUUAUUGACAUA